CAGUCAACAUGGGAUCAUUCAGAGAUCCUCACUGAACUUCUGAGAGCAAAGACUGUGGAAAUCAAAAAGUGAGAGGUGCUUUUGCAAAGAUCUACAUGUGCUUGGAACAGCACACGCUCUCCACGUCACUGGGCAUUCAGGGUCAAGUUCUUCAUACUGCAGUGGAUCCUUCCAGUCACGAGGGGCUACUUUCCUAACAUCCAGGAUAUGGUGAUAUCAUCAGGUGGAGCUCUACAGAUGAUCGUCGCUGACAUCACUGCGCAACGCAGAACUCCCAUCAGCCCAAUAAUGUGCAUUAGUAUGAAGAAUGAAAUGUCUCAAUUUGAACCUGUUUUUUUCCAGUUCAAGAGCAUGAUUCCUAUUUCUUCCACGAGACUCAUUGUAGGAAAUUCCAAUUUCCAAUACCAGCCAAUGUUUGACACUACAGGGAACCCCCAGUUUACGAUUGUUCCGACAUAUGGCAUUUGGAGGUUGCAAAUGGCCUCCAACAGACAUGUUUGCACAAUGACACGGCACUAGAAAGUUACUCCAUACUUGCUGUUUUGUUCUCUUCUUGUUUUAUAUUUAUAACCCAGUCUGUAUUUUAUACAAAUACUGACUUUAAUUUUGACUUUAAUCGGCACAGCGGCUCCUUGGAAUUUUCGGUUGGCCACAAUGAAAAAAAAAAAACACAACAGAAGUAA